rnacentral:lncRNA from 1 species
GGUAAACGCCAGUCUGUUAUGACAUAUUAUAUUAUCCAUAUACAUUACUGUAUUCUGUCUGCAUGCACACACAAACACUUGUUUACAUAUUUGUGUAUAUUUGUGUGUGUACGUGUAUGUAUUUUUUUUCAGGUGUUUUUCAUCUGCGUUCAUGAGUAAGAUUGCCUAUAUAUAUAUUUAUUUCUCAUCCUUGGGCAUUUCUGUUACGGUUUUACUAGCUUGUAAAAUAUGUUCUUAUUCUGUUUCUAGAAAAGAUACGUAAGCCUGGAAUUAUUUCUUCCUUGAAUAUUUGGGAGAACUGCCUGAAAGCCAAGGCCUGAACUUUUCUAUAUGGGGAGAUCUCUAAUCACUGGUUCAAUAUAUUUAGUGAUUGUAGAACUAUUCAGAUUUUCUGUUUCUUCUAGAGUUAGUUUUGGUUGAAUUAUUUUCAGUAAGGUGCCAUUUUCUAGGAAUUUAUACUGGUAAAUUUGAAAUUAUAGAUGAAAUGUGCAAAGUUGUUUGCCAUAUCUUGUAAUCUGUAUAAUAUGUGUGAAAUCUAUAAUGAUAGCCUCUCUUUCAUUCCUGAUAUUAUUUGUGCUUUUUCUUUUCUCUUGAAUAGCCUUGCCAGUUUUUUCUCGGUUCUUACACAUAACUGACCCCCUACCAGCCACAUAUGAGACAUCUAGUUGCUUCACAUCCUCCCCCUCCAAAUAUUUUCAGUGUUGUUAAUUUAGACUCUUUCAUUUCUGUUGGAUAUGUACAGUUAUCUCAUUUUGAUUUUAGUUUACUUUUAUCAUCAGGGAAAUGAUGUUGAGUAUCUUUUCAUAUGCUUAUUGACCACUUGGAUAUCUUCUUUGUGAAAUGCCUAACCCUUUUUCUUUAAUUGGCUUUUAAAAAAAAAUGGAUUUGUAGGAGUUACUGCUAUAUUCUGGAUAUGAGUCUUUCGUCAGAUUUAUAUACUGCAGAUAUCUUCUCCCAGGCAGAGAAUGUUCCUUAUUCACUUAAUGUCAUCUGUUAGUAAGUGAAAGGUCUUAGUUUUGAUAAAAUCCAUUUUAUCAGUUUUCUUUCUUUUGCAAUUAGUGAUUUUGGUGACCAGUUUUUAAAAUUUUUGCCUACUCCAAAAUAAAGAAGAAAUUUUCAUAUUUUCUUUUAAAUGUAUUAUUGUAUUGCUGUUCAUAUUUAGAUCUAUGAUUUAUCUGGAAAUAAUUUUUAUAUAUUGUGCGGUGGGAAUGAAGAUUCAUCCUUUAGAAGUUUUUUUUUUAGUAGAGGUCUGAUAACAAAUACUAGUUUAUAAAUGUCUUUAUCUUAUUAAAGAAAUAUUUUUUGAGGGGUAUAGAAUUUUAGGUUGCAUCUAGGAGAGGCAAACUAUGAUAUAUAGGAUGGAUAAAUAGCAAGGACCGACCGUAUAAUACAGGAACUAUAUUCAGUAUCCUGUGACAAACCAUAAUGGAAAGAAAUAAGUUUACUGAAUUGCUUUGCUGUGCAGCAGAAAUUAACACAACAUUGUAAACCAAUUAUACUUCAAUAAAAUUUAAAAAAAUCAAGAUCAAGAAUUAGUUUAAGAGAAGAAAGAAAAAAGAAUUCUAGGUUGAAAAAUCUUUAGUACUGUCAACUUUAAUAAUCAAAAAGUUAUUGUAUGAGCAAAAGCAAGUUUAUUCAGGAAUAGCCAAAGGAAUUGCAGUUCCAUGUACAGAUACCUGAACUAUGGCAGACCACAGGCAAAUGAGAGAACAAGGAAAGGAAACUUGCUUCUAUCAGGUAAAGGGAGCAGUGGGAGGGACCGUAAUGACCAAAGAGUUCCCUGUAGGAAGCUGGGAAUCCAGAGUAUGAAGGCUUCUCAUUGGUGGGCUGCUAUAGCCUCCUCCUGGCUGGACUGUCCUCAGGGGAGAGAAAUUUUCUUCCUACUUGGUUGUAAAACAGGCAACACCUUCCUUUGAUGGAGAUGUUUGCUUCCUCUCUCCCUGUUUGGAGUAAUUGAUGAUGUGUAGCUGGGUACGAGAACUGCCCCACCAGGCCUGUUCCAACUCUCUUAACUCUAGCUGAGGUUUCUUUAAUUCCACAGCACCUUGAUGUUAUUAUCCCACUGUCUUAUGCCUUCAGUUAUUUCUGUUGUGAAGUCCGCUAUAUAGCUUAACAGUUUAUAUGUAUGCUUUUUUUGGUCUUUUUUUUUUUUAAACAGCCGCACCCUCAGCAUAUGUAAGUUCCCAGGCUGGGGUGGAAUCUGGAGCUGUAGCUGCCAGCCUACACCACAGCAACGCGGGAUCCAAGCUGCGUCUGCGACCUACACCACAGCUCACAACAACACCAGAUCCUUAACCCACUGAGGGAGGCCAGGGAUCGAACCCGCAUCCUCAAGGAUCUUAGUUUUGUUAACCGCUGAGCCACAAUGGGAACUCCAUUGGCUUUGAAGGUAAUCAGCCUUCUUUUUUCUGGCUGUCUUUAAAAUCUCUUUAUCCCUAUUCUGUAUCACUCUGAUAUGUCUGUGUGCAGAUUUAUUUUUUUCUGAUCCUACAUGAGAAUCUUUUGGCUUCUCAAAUUGUUGUCUUUUGUUAUUUCUGAAAGAUUCUCAGCUAUUACAUUUUCAUUGUCUCUGGCUUAUUCUCUCUUUCCUUCUAUAACUCUGAUAACAUAUGUUAAACCUGUUUCAUAUUUUCCAAACUUUGUCUUUCUGUGUUACAAUCUGGUAAUCGCUACAGAACUUUGUCCAAAUGGAUUUGGGAAAGAACCAAAUAGAGCAUCUAGAAAUGAAAAUAAAUUUUUAAAAUACAGCUGGUGUGUUUAACAGAAUAUUAGACACAGCUAAGGAGAGACUUUUUAAGCUGGAAUAUAGGUCAGAAGUUUUGCUUCUACUGGGUAACUUAGGGAUGGUACCGAUUAAGGGCCAUAUUAGACUAAAUUCUCAGCUUAAAAUUUUUUUGACCAGUAGUUUCCUGGUGGCUCAGUGGGUUAAGGAUCUGGUGUUGUCAAUGCUGUGUUGCGGAUUCAAUCCUUGGCCUGAGAGCUUUUGCAUGCUGUAGGCGCAUCCAAAAAAAAAAAAAAAAUGUUUCUACACUUCUCUUGUGGCUCAGUAGGUUAAGAAUCCAGAGUUGUCACUGAACUGCUUGGGUCAUGGCUAUGGCUCCAGUUUGGCUACUGGCCUGGGAACUUCAGCGUGCCACAGGCAUGGGCAAAAAAAAAAAAGUAUUUUUUGACCAGUGUGAUUUGUGCUGUAAAACUUUGUGACACUUACUGACUUGUGGUUAUAAAUCAUCUGGGGUAAAAUUUCCCCAUCUCCAUUCAGUGCUGAGGUUCAAAACAGACAAUUUUUCUUAACCUCCUUGAUGGGGUUGGAGUAGGAGCAUUUUAUUUCAAAUUCACCAUCACAGGGAGGGGUGGUUUUUUGGGAUGUCAGCUAGAGUCUCCUACCUGACCCUUCUCGAGCAAGCAGGCUCUGGACUAUCCCCCUUGACUUGGAGGUUAAAAUUUUGCAUAAGGGACUCCAUUGGUUUCAACAGGAAAGCAGUUAGUCUUUCAUGCUGCCAGAGAUGAAGAGGUGCUUAAAUUUCUCAUAGUCUUGACAGCAUUGUUCCCUUAACAUUGUUGCUGAAGCUCCAUACCUGAGAGUCCUAGGUAUGCGGAGGUAGAUACUUGUGGGGGGGUUGGCAGCCCCUUACCUCCCUCACAGUAUCAUGACAUCCUCUUUGAGAUAGACAUUAUGUUGGCAUGGGCUAAAGUUACCAGUAGUAUUUCAUUUAGAAAGUAGUUUUAAAUCCCAGCUUUGAAUCUUUUCAUGUUUUUCCCUAUGUUUUCAUAUUUUUCUUAUGUUUAUAGUUGGUUAAAUUUGAUACUUAAGUGAUUCUUUGGUAAUGCUGGAAUAUAUUUGUAUUGACCAAGGCUUCCGUUAUUCCUUUGAGAAGGGUGUUUAUAAUCCUUUGUUUCACUUUUCCUGAAGGAUUUCUCUCUGUGGCAGAAGUGGUCCAUUUUAUCAGGGGCACCACUGCUGGUACACAGCUCACACUGACCGCUUCUAGUGAGCCAAGCAUCGCACUUUCUGCCAUAUACAACAAACAUUACAAUAGCCUCAUGAGGUCUAGAGUACUGUAAUUCCAUUUUAAUCCUGGGGAAAUGGAAGCUGAAAAAUGUAGAGACCUUGUCUAAGGGUACCCAGCUGGGAACUGGAAAUGAGGACUCUAUAAGUUGAGCUCUUCAUUCCUUGCUUUUACACUUAAGUCCUGUCUUGCCUUCCCAAAGAACAUAACACAUUUUACAAAUGUGUGAGUGUGGUAGGUGUAUACUUCACCAAAAAACCAAGUCUUGUCAUAGAAGUGGCUAUGGCCUUGGUAGAGAUCCUUAGCUUAGCUUCCUGUCAUAUCUGAUGCUGUAACAUAGACUUGUUCCUGAAAGGUGGAUGGGAAGUGAAAGGGAGCCCUCAGUCAUUGCACAGAUAGGAACUGCGCCCUCUGCUGGUCACUGGCCACACAGCUACUCAAGAGGCUCCUACACAGAAACAGCGAAGACUCCAGCCCUGUGAUGUGGAAGGUGGGGCAGGUUCCGGAGGAGCACAAGCGCCACUCACCAGGAAGACGUGAUGCUCUUCAGAGAUACUCUCAGAGAUUGCAUGUGAGAAUAUACUGGAGGAGGUGAACGUGCACGAGUGUAAGCCUAGUGCCUGAGUGGUAACGUGCCCCUUGGAGACCUGGGCUAUGAGGGAGGCCGGAGCCAACUCCUGCAGAACUGGACCUCCUGGGAUCCCUGCUCACACUUGCCUGGGAUCCCCACCCCCGCACUUACCGUUCAGCAGGUCUACAGUGGGGGCCCAGAAACAUCUCAGACAAGUUUCCAGUGUGGCUACGGCUGCCAGGCUGGGACCCACACCUUGAGGACACUGCCUGGAGAGCCUGCCCCCGGGUGAAGGACAGUGCCGGGGCUAGCCAGGCCAGCUUACCUCUUGCUCCCAGCUCAGGCUCUGCAUCUAAGACACAGACUAAGCAGAGGUAGGUAGAAACUUCCAAAAGUAACUUUACCAAGAAAUCAAGGGUGCCAUUGAAUGGAAAAACCUAAAAAGUGUUGUCCUUUACCCAAAACUCACUUAUGCAUCUUCAAGGGACUCCACAAGGUACAUGGAGGGGCAACAGAUGAUGAGGCCCCCAGGCCUAGCCUUGUAUCCAGCAUGGUGGCCAUUAGCUAUUUAAACGUAAAUAAGGAGUUGCCAUUGUGGCUCAGUGGAUUAAGGACCUGACAUUGUCUCUGUGAGAAUGUAGGUUCGAUCCCUGGCUUCGCCCAGUGGGUUAAGUAUCUGACCUUUCCACAAGCUGUGGCAUAGGUUGCAGAUGUGGCUUGGAUCUGGUGUUGCCAUGGCUGUGGCAUAGGCUUCAGCUGCAGCUCCAUUUCGACCCCUGGCCUGGGAACUGCCAUAUGCCACAGGUGUAGCUAUUAAAAAAAAAAAUAUGUAAACAAGAUUAGAAAUUCUGUUCCUCGGUAGUACUAUCAGCACUCAGUCCCUCUGUGUGACCAUCAGCCACUAUGCUGGAUGGUGCAGGUACAGAAUACCCCCUCAGUGCAGAAAGCUUUCUGCUGGGCAGCGCUGUUCUAAUGGGCUGAAUUGGCUGCGAAGGAGCACAGUCAGGUCUGGUGAGCAGACCUCAUCAGCCUGGGCACUGAGGACAGGACAAGACACUGCUCUUCUCUGGUGGGAUGGACCAGAGAAGAGCAGUGUCUUGGUUCCUCUCCUUCACUUGCACAAGCUCCUGUGUACCCCCUCAAUAAAUCCCUUCUCUGUAGCUUUUCAAGUGUGACCUGUUGGAACAAAAAGAACUGCGUUCUGCAUGCCUCCCUGCAGCAAGAUGUCAGCGGGGAGCCCCAACAUCCCCAGCCCCAGGAGACCCUGAGGGUUGUGAUGAGUCCUGCAGGAAAGGAACCUUGGCAAUCAUCUAAGGUAGGUGUCCUGAACUUACAUGACCAUGUAACUCAAGCUGCUCGUGACAUCUCUCUGAACACGGACCUUUGAGGAAAGCAGGAUAGGACCUGUCUCUGUACAGUGCUAUCUUGUUUUGCAUUAUUUGAAAAGCGCUUUGUCAGAGUGUGGAGGUGAGAACUCCUUGAUCCAUCUCUGAAAGUGUUGUAGGGGGGUCCUGCCAGUCUCUUCCUCCCUGGCCUGGGAACCACCCCCUGCCUCCUGCCGGCAUCAGAGCUGCCCGUCCUUACCAGUCCCCACAGAGAAGAGGCACACAAGGGGAGUGACAUGUUCUUUUAUUGAUGCAAGUACGUCCAGUCACACCAACAGCUGACAUCCUGCAUUAUAGUACAGCUUUAUCCUCAGAGUUCAUCUUGAGGUACCAAAACGCCACAGUUAGGGUGUGUAUCAAAUUGGGAAGAUAAAGUAGCAAAUGUGGACACUGUGUCAGGUAGGGACUAGAACUGAUGACCCAGCAAAGUGCACACUGAUGGGAAAACUCCUGAACACGUGGACAGAAAAGGAUCUAACAUCGUAUUCCAAAUAUAUAUUCUCAAGUUUUAAACCUUUCUUUAUCUCAAAUACAUAAACAAAGCAGUAUGUACUAUCAAUAUACAAUAUGUACUAUCUAGAACAUCUGAAAAGUGCAAAAACACUGUGACAAUACAGUGUAAAGAAUAUCCUUGCUCCACCCAGGGCCGAGGGUGACAUCAGCAGCGAUCACAAAGCCACCUCCCUCCUAAGGCUUCGCCUUCACGUCCCCAGCUCUCCUCGGAGGUUUGGGAAUUAGCAACUUGCUGCCCCGGCCUCAGCCAGGACUCCCAGCUGGCAGAAGACGGGUGUGCGGAGAGAAACAAGGGUGAGUAAUUCCAAAUCGGUACGGAAUGAGAGCCCUGCCACGAGGGGGAGCGCAUCGCGUGGACUGCCCGCUUCUGGCCUCUUAGGGGCCAGGGCGUCAGAAAGAAAACGGAGUGUACCCCUCGCGUUUGGGUGUGGAAAAAACCUCCAAAUGUUGGGCAGUGUUAGGUGAGAGGGCUCCAGCGGAUACUGGCUAAUGUUUCUGUCUCCGAUUCUAGCAGGGGCGCUCCCCUGCGCAGAAGGAGGGAGGAGCCUGAUUGGUGAGGUGCUUCUUUUCACUUUGAAGUGGGGACAUUGAAAGCCAGCUUGAACCCCAUCCUUAACUGUACUUUGUAUUCGCCUUAUUACAGCUAAGUCUCUUUCAGUCACAGCCUGGAAAACCGACAAUUCCACGACUCCCCUCCUUACGUUAUUUUAGAUUUCCUCUUUUCCCAAAAAGUAGUUGAAGAAUAACUUGCCGGACGUAAUUCCAACAGAAAAUAUGCUGCCAGGUAUCCCCCUGCCCUCCCCCCUGACCCCCAUAAAUCCCUGAUAAAGGAACAUGAAAAUGUAAACUUUGGAAAGCCCGCGUUCAAGGUUCGCUUCCAGAAGUACGCAAAUGAGACCUCCUGGCCACCCUAGUCCUUCAUGCCGGGACCUCACUGGCCUAGGCUUUGAGGGCAGGCGCCUUUGUGGCCCAGGGCAGAGCUGGCUGCAGGCCACGACAGAGCGGGAGACCGGCCCUCCAGGACCCUCUAAGGCACUAACCCCGACAUCAGAGACACUGGCUGGAAGGUAGGCAGGGCUCACGUUGGUUUUGGUUGGGUUUUUUAAAUAUUUUUUUUUGUAAGAUGUUAAUAAUCAAAAGUAGAAAAUAAAAAUCUACAUUUCAUUAGAAUAAGAUGUUAUCAUGGAUGCCAUCCCCCAUGAUACUCUUUCCCCACCCCUCCCCAAAGCAGGGCCCUGCCCUGUUAUUUAAAAU